rnacentral:rRNA from 1 species
AUUGUAAAUAACUUGUUUGAAUAAUCAAAAGUUUAAUGUUUAGGAAAAAUAAUUUUUAAAGUAGCGUUUAAGUAAUUUUUAAUGAAUUUUUUUGUGGACUAUAGUUUAAAGUACUGUAAAGGAAAAAGAUAAAAUUUUUGAUAGUAAAUUUAAAAUUUUGUACCUUGUGUAUCAGGGGAAAUUUAUAUAAAUUAAAAAUAAUUAAGAAUCUCGAAAUAAAAUAUAGCUAACUUUAUAAAAAAAUUUUUGUAGAAAAUAAAUUUUUAAUAUAAAGUUAAAGGUGAAAUGCUAGUCGAGUUUUAUGAUAUCUAGUUUUUCGAAAAUAAAUUUAAUUUGGUUUUUUCUUAAAUUAACGAAAAAUUCAAAUGUAGGAGGGAAUAGCUUCUUAUAAAUUAAAAUAUUAAAGAGUCUAGAAAAAUGAAUAAUUUGUGAAUUAAGCUUAAAAGUAGCUAUACUAAUAAAGUGUUUUAACUAAACCGGAAAUUGAAAAUAUUUAUUUAGACUUUAAAAAGUAUUGGAAAAUUAAUUUAAAUUAAAAUAAUUAAGUUAUAAUGAUUUUAUUAGUAAAAGUUUUAUGUAGUAUUUAAAUGUUAAAAUAAUAAUUAUUAUUUAAAACUAAAAAAGUAAUAUAAAGGAACUCGGCAAAAUUAUUUCUUUGCCUGUUUAUCAAAAACAUGUCUAUUUGGAGAUAUAAAAAGUUUAACCUGCCCACUGAUUGUUAUAAAUUGAAUGGCCGCGGUAUUUUGACCGUGCAAAGGUAGCAUAAUCGUUAGUUUUUUAAUUGAAAUCUUGUAUGAAUGGUUGGACAAAAGAAAAUCUGUCUUUGUAUUAAGUAUUGAAUUUAACUUUUAAGUGAAAAGGCUUAAAUAAAUUAAAGGGACGAUAAGACCCUAUAAAGCUUGAUAUUAAUAUUUUAUUUAGUUGAAUUUUGUAUAAUAAAAAUUUUAUAAUUAAAUUUAUUUUAUUGGGGCGAUAAAAGUAAAAUGUUUAAUAACUGCUUAAAAUUGAGUACAUAUAUAAGUGAUUAAAUUUUUAAAUGAUCCUAAUUAAAGAUUAAAAGUUUAAGUUACUUUAGGGAUAACAGCGUUAUUUUUUUUGAGAGUACUUAUCGAAAAAAGAGUUUGCGACCUCGAUGUUGAAUUAAAAUAUCUU